AUUCAAACUUAAAAACACCUUUUCUUAAAUUUUCUCAACUGACCAUCAAGAACUCAGCAAGAUUGGAGUUAUGUCUAGGUUAUUUGAGCUGUUAGAAGUAGAUCGAAGUCCCAAACAACUAACCAUCAACCUUAAACUUCAAUUCUUGGGAGUUAGCCAUUAUCCGCGACCUCAAGCUCUCACAUAGGUGCUAUGACAUAACUGGCCCCAUCACGGAUUAUCUCCAUAUUUGAGUUAAGGUUGACAAUAUAGCUAGCAAGGUAACUCCUUUCCAAACUUCAAACAUGAAUGCUCUAAUUAGAUCUUAUUACAUCAUCAUUUGAGCCUUCCGCCAAACCCUUCUUGCUGAUUGAUCCUCUAAGAAAACUAGUACGAUCCAUCAAAAAGGGUAAAAUGGAUGAAAGCUUCAAAGACCAUGCCUUCAAAGGAAUUUUUUAAAGUUAUGUUCAAUGGAAAGGUGUGGACUGUGGAUGCAGAUGUCAUGCAGUGCUUUUUUUUGGAGAUAUUCUAUUGAGAGGCAUGACCUUAUGAUCCUCCUUGUUCCAUUCAUGGUACCAACAUUCUCUACCUUGUCUUUUGCCAAGGCCCAUGCAUCCGGAUCACCUACCACUUUUCAACCACUCGAUAACACUUUUGGAGGAAACUUAUUGUUGACCUGGAGAGGCUUACAGAUUGAGUCAUGUGACUGUUGCAUAUCUUCUCCAUCUUCUUGUGCUUUUUCCAUUACCCUUGGCUGAAGUUUUCUACGUUCUUCCUCUUUAUGGCCUUGUAACUUACACACCUUGUAAUAUUUUGGUAAUGAAUCAUAAUGAACUUUAAUGUGUACUGUA